ACAGAGCAACAAUGCAGGAGGCUUGAUUUAUUUGAUGGGCUGGACAAUUCCGGCAGUGCAGAGUGAAAAGCGUGUGUGUUCUUGUUUUCCCCACAAGGAGGAGCCCCUGUCCACACUCUCCAGACAGAACUGAGGAGCUCAAACGUGGUGAAAGCGUGACAUUGGUGCAUUGGUUCCAGAGGAGGGCCUUCCAGAGAUUGGUGUGAGAUCUGUGAAGACCCUCUUGCCUGAAACCUCACUUCUCAGGUUACAGAGACUGUUUAAUGGCAUGCAAUAUACUACACUUUUUUAAAAUGACCACUGUUUUGAUUGUCAGACAAGUUUCACUGGUAGAAGAGAACAUAUCAAGUGCUCCUGCUGGGUGAUCUCCCUGCCUCCGAGUGCUUACUCAUUUCCGUCUGGGUGGGCUCUUCUAGGAAGACUACGGCGCUGGGAGUGGGGAGACCUGGUCCUGGCCUCAGUCUCUUCCUCGGCCCCCCACGCAUGGCCUGACACACACCUGUGCACACCCACACUGCCCACUGUGCACACAAACACUCACAGCCCUGAGCCUGCACCCUGGUCCGUAGUGAAAUCCCUGAACGGUGCCGCUGGGUAACUACGGAGCAGUUUGACCACCGCUUUCGUUUUACAGGUGGGGAAACGGGCUGAGGGAGAGCGCAGGGUGCUGAGAUGAAGGGGAGGCCGGCCAAGUCCUCUGUGAACCUGGAGAAGGUCGGGCAGCUUCUUCCUCAACAGCGAUACCAUUCUAACAACCACAUGCCACAGGAAGAGCCGACACCCAGGCACUGUGCUGAACACUUUAUUUACAAAUUUUAAAAUUCUCACUACAAUCCUACAGGCUAGGAAUUCUGAUCACCCUGUUUUUGGGGGGGUGAUGAUUUUACAGGAGAAAGCAGCACAAAGAGGGCAGGAUAUGCCCAGAGCUACCCAACUGUCGGCGAUGGAGAGGGUGUUCCGGAACCAGCCUCUACAGGCCCUCCUGGAAGAAUCUGAUCCAAGGUAAGACUUGAGCCUAACUGGGGCCCCCGCUGCCCCAGACCUGGAUGGGCGACUGAGGUCUGAGGGCCGGUCCUG
rnacentral:lncRNA from 1 species